ensembl:lncRNA
CAGGUUUUGAGGGAGCGUGCAAUUGGUAGGCUGACUGCAGGAAUGCCCACCAGAUCUGUUGCCAGAGAAUUGAAUGUUAAUUUCUCUACCAUAACCCGCCUCCAACAUCAUUUUAAAGCAUUUGGAAGUCCGUCCAACCGGCCUCACAACAGCAGACCACGUGUAACCAAGCCAGCCCAGGACCUCCACAUCUGGCUUCUUCACCUGCGGGAUCGUAUGAGACCAGCCACCUGGACAGCUGAUGAAACGGUGGGUUUACCCAACCAAAUAAUUUCUGCAGUUCAGCGUUGUAACUGACUUCAAUGGGCAAAUGCUCACCUUCGAUGGCCACUGGCAUGCUGGAGAUGUGUGCUCUUUACAAAUGAAUCUCGGUUUCAACUGUACCGGGCAGGUAGUAUGUGUGUGGGCGAGUGGUUUGCUGAUGUCAACAUUGUGAAUAGAGUGCCCCAUGGUGGGGUUAUGGUAUGGACAGGCAUAAGCUACUGACAACGAACACAAUGGCAUUUUAUUGAUUACAAUUUGAAUGCACAGAGAUACCGUGACGAGAUCCUGAGGCCCAUUGUCGUGCCAUUCAUUUGCCACCAUCACAUGUUUCAGCAUAAUGCACGGCUCCAUGCAUGAUGCAAUGUCUCAGUUCCUCCAUGGCCUGUAUACUCACCUGAAAUGUCACUCAUUGAGCAUGUUUGGGAUGUUCUGGAUGGAUGUGUACAACAUUGUGUUCCAGUUCUUGCCAAUUUCGCACAGCCAUUGAAGAGGAUUGGGACAACAUUCCACAGGCCACAAUCAAGUCUACUUAACUCUCUGCAAAGGAGAGGUGUCACUUUGCAUGUGGCAAAUGGUGGUCACACCAGAUACUGACUGGUUUUCUGAUCCAUGACCCUACCUUUUUUUUAAGGAAAGUAAUCAGGGGCUCCCGAGUGGUGCAGAGGUCUAAGGCACUGCAUUUCACUGCUAGAGACAUCACAACAGACCCUGGUUUGACCCCGGGCUGUAUCUCAACUGGCCGUGAUCGGGAGUCCCCAUAGGGCGCCGCAUAAUUGGUCCAGCGUCGUCCGGUUUAGGGCAGGGUUUGGCCUGGGUCCCUUGAAGCUGUCCUCUGACAACCAUCACCUCUGGAUGUUCUACUACCAACAGACCUGCAGUAAUUCAGUUGAGUAUUUUUAGAGUUUAUCGUUGGUGCUGUUGUGGGGAAAUGACAGGGUAUAUCAUUCAAUAGUGUUUAUGUGAGACUGAAUAUUUGCAAUCAAGUCAGUGUUAGGGAUCAGUACGUUUGGUGCAUUCGGGAAGUAUUUAGUCCCUUUUUCUUCCACAUUUUGUUACAUUACAUUUUGUUACUCCUCAUCAAUCAACACACAAUACCCCAUAAUGACAAAGUGAAAACAGGUUUUUAGAAUUUAAAAAACUGAAAUGCCUUAUUUACAUAAGUAUUCAGACCCUUUGCUAUGACACUCAAAAUUGAGCUCAGGUGCAUCCUGUUUCCAUUAAUGAUCCUUGAGAUGUUUCCACAAGUUGAUUGGAGUCCACCUGUGGUAAAUUGAACUGAUUGGAUAUGAUUUGGAAAGUCACAUACCUGUCGAUACAAGGUCCCACAGUUGACCGUGCAUGCCAGAGCAAAAGCCAAGCCAUGAAGUCAAAGGAAUUGUCCUUAGAGCUCCGAGACAGGAUUGUGUCGAGGCACAGAACUGGGGAAUGGUACCAAAAAAUGUCUGCAGCAUUGAAGGUCCCCAAGAGCACAGUGGCCUCCAUUCUUAAAUAGAAGUAUGGAACCACUAAGACUCUUCCUAGAGCUGUACCAGUGACCAGUAAAACAUAGCGUCAGAAUUGAUAACAGCCCGGCCAAACCAAGUUAUCGGGUACUACAGUAUUGCUGUCCCUCUGGUGUUAUGGUAUACUACAAUAUUUGGUGAUAUUGUCCCUCUAUAGUGUUAUGGGAUGGUACUGUUCCUCUGGUGUUAUGGGGUACUACAGUAUUUGGUGGUACUGUCUCUCUGUGGUGUUAUGGGGUACUACAGUAUUUGGUGGGGUACUACAGUGUGGACCUCAUUAUCAAGUCAUGUGAACCAUAAUGUGACAGGUGAAUUAAGUAGAUUGUUGUUUUUUCCCACGCAUUCCUAUUCUGGUAAAUGUAAAAAAUAUUUUGAUACUCACAAUAACAUGCAUUUGGGUCAACAUGUCUUUGACUGCAUUUAUCUAUGACUGAAAACAUGCAAUGGAUAUUGUUUGACCUUACACCGUGAUCAAGCUACUUUGACUCCUAAAGGUACAGUCAUGGGGCAGACCUGUUAAUGUUUAACUACUGUAGUAAAAUCCUCAGUGUAGCAAUAAACACACGUGUUUCCUGAUACAUGCAUUGACAAAGUCUUAAGUGAACAAAUAAUACACUCCCUCAUCAUUAGGUCAUAAAAUAACUCCUUAUCAAUGAUGAACCUUGAUUCGUGAUUGGACACAACUGUUGGUUGUUUUUCAGAAUCUCCUUGUCUCCAACACAGUCAAGUUGCUACUCCUCUGGAUAUCCCAUUGUUCCUCCACUGGACCUAAUUAAACACUGAGUAUGAAAUGACUUUCACGGUGUAGUUGUAGGAAAUGUAAACUGUUCUGUUCUAAUGUUGCAUUAAUAUAGAACUAUUCAUGAAAAUACUGUGUAAAAGUGUGUUUCUACGUCAUACAUUGUUUCAAGCCACUCCUUGCAACAUCUGAUGUGAGAUUCAUGUGAGAUGUAUUAUAUUUUUUAGGUUAGUAUAAGGAGUCGGUGUUAUUCCUCAAGCAUCAAUAGGGUAUAUCAUUAAUUGAAAAGACAUUUGAACAGCAGUAAAUAUAGCAGAUUGUAACUAACAUAACACUUGGCCUCCAGUUCUCCUUACUGUACCUCCCUAAAGCUGAAGUGUGCAGUAGUUGCUGAAUUCCCCAUGGAAUACACAAUGAUUGAUGAUCGAAUACUGAGGAAGUGAAGUUG